GGGUCUGCUUGUCUCCCCAGGCACUUCCUUCAGGGAGUAAAACCAGCUGCCUACUUCGCCUUCGUCCUGGGCUCUACUCCAGCACACCAAAGUCAGCUUUAGAAUACUCACUAAACAUUGUACGUUUGCACUUUUAGGAAAAUAUUUACUAGACUCUAAACUAUCGUUUUCUGUUAUUUGCUAACUUAAGAUCAGUGGAAUCUAAGUGGUGGAUUAAGAGUUUUCGCAGUAAAACUCAAACUUACAGGUUGAAACUUUUCAUUGAAAAAACGUCAGGAAAAAGGGGGGGAGGUGAAAAACCACACAAUGCGAAGCAAAUGGCCACCCCCACACUGCAGGCUGACCCCCCUCCACUGCAGGCUGACGGAGGGCGGGGAGGAGGCCAAGGCCGAGCCGGGAGGCUCCAGGAGCGUCCUCCGUUCCGCGUGCCGGGGUGUCUGGCUUCAGUCCACCGAGCAUCCACCAGGGGCCCCCACACACCACCCACCCACUUCCGGGGCGGUGGGCUGAGCACAGAACUCGCGCCUUCCCACAGGCCGGCCGGCGGGUCCAGUGGGCUCAAGGAGGAAGUGCAGAGUCUACGGCUCAUCUUAAAAGAAGGAGCGAGUCCCAGGAGUUUUAUUGUUUGGCCGCAGAACACGAAAGCAGGCGGGGCCCCCCGGUGAGAGCGGCCUGGCCCACGUCUGCCCCG